UACGUAGGGGGCGAGCGUUGUCCGGAAUCAGUGGGCGUAAAGAGCGUGUAGGUGGACUGGAAGGUCUGGUGUGAAAGCCCGGGGCUCAACCCCGGAAUGUCUUUCGAAACUGUUGAGCUAGAGUGCAGAAGAGGCAACUGGAAUUCCCAGUGUAGCGGUGAAAUGCGUAGAUAUUGGGAAGAACACCUGAGGCGAAGGCGGGUUGCUGGCUGACACUGACGCUGAGGCGCGAAAGCCAGGGAGCGAACGGG
rnacentral:rRNA from 1 species